UUUAAUUAUAGGUAGCACUAAUUUUUUUAGCGCUUUAAAAAAAACAUAUCUUUAAUCACAGAAAUGACAUGACUAAUACUUUUAAAACCCUUUUUAUUUUCUUAAACUUAACAUGUAAUUAUAUGGAAAACAUAGACUACAGAUGCAAUAUAGGAGAAGACAAAGUUCCAGUAGCGCCAUCACUCGUAAGCUAUUGUUCCAUAUUUGUUUCAGUUAUUCUCUUUAACAACAAGCCUAAUCAAUAUUUACAGCUUCAGUUAAGAUUGAAACAAUUGGAACUGGAAACUAAAUUUAAAUAGCUGAGAAAUCAGUAUGGCAACCACGUCGUAACUCUGUCCGUUCUGUAAUUUUGUUUUUACAGUGAUCACUUGCCGUUUGAUAAAAUGCUUAACAGAAGUACCUGCCUUUCUUGUCAAUCAAUUUUAAAAUUUUAUAAAUUACUGUAACUGGACGUUUCAGAUUCUGGGUAUCGUGAAUUGUGUCAUUGAGAUAUGAAGAAAAGAAAAAGAUGUGAUCUUUUGAAACGAUUCUUGAUAGUGAAGUAACUGAAAAUAUGCUGAGAAUGAGAUCAUCAGUAUAGAUGAUAGUCCAUGGAUAGGGUAACGUGAGUUAGAAGUGCUGAAGUUCGUUAACAUAGUUAUGCAGAUGCCUAUGAGAAAAACAGUUUUAACGGAUUUAUAGCAGAAGCUGGGCAGCACAGAGGCAGAAGCAAAAAGGAGAGAGAGGAAGUAGAAGCAAAGAAGAAGAAAAACCUUCUUUAGGGAAACAAUCAUGUUGAAUAUGUUAUUCUGUAGGUGAACACUGUUAGUAUGUUUCAGAUGCUUAAAUUGGCUGCACAUUCAAAAUGUUUACGAGGAUUAUCUAGCUUGUCGAACUCUGGUUUCCAUAGGCUUAUGAACUGGUUAGAUGCACUAUCAAAAUGUUUACAAGGAUUAUCUAGCUUGUCGAACUCUGGUUUCCAUAGGCUUAUGAACUGGUUAGAUAUUCGGGAAUUCUACUUUAUGAUCCUGAGACUAUUUGGCACUGUUCAUUGUUUUUUAGCUUAUUUGCACUAUACUGGCAUGAUUUUUUUUUUCUGUGGCUUCUGUAGUACAGAUUAUGUAGGACUGAUAUCUUGAUUUGAAUGGGUUGUAAAAGUUUCUUCUUAUGUAAUGUCAGAUCUGAUGGAAACAUUGCAUGUGCUGGUCAUAUUGCCAUUCAGUCGCUUUGUGCUUCUCAGUGUGACUUCUCUGACAAGGUUAGUUUCUGGAUUUCAGUUACUUAUAAUGUGACUUGUUUAUGAGAAAUAUGUUUUCCGAUAAGAGAAAUCACCUAACUCUUUUCCCCACUGGUGGAAUUUGCCUGAUUACUGUAUCUCAUAAUUGAC
rnacentral:lncRNA from 1 species